rnacentral:lncRNA from 1 species
AUAAAUAAAAGAAUCUUCCAGAAAUUCAUGAAGAGACUUCAGGUCAGGAAAGCCUGAACUUUCUCAUCCAACACCCGUUCAAGUCGGAGGAUGCUGAUUAAUUCAUGAUGGAAAGGUAUCAAUUUCACAGCCCAGACCUCUACAUUCUUGAAAUGCUCUUCUCAUGGGAGACAUUAAAUAAGCUUUGAAUUAACUAAAAAUAUCCAACCCGAGCAGGAUAAAACUGAUCAUCCUGAGGAUAUUGCCCUUGGAGUUAAUUUUUUGAGAGAAAUAAAACAAUAAACAUCAUAAGACACAAACCCCAAGCAACUGAUCUCACUGUUAAAAUCCAACCUGAGAACAAUGGAAUGGAUAAUGGUCAUUUCAACUGUCUUUGAGUCUGGAGGUUGCUUUUAACAAACUGAAUUGUAUUGCUGCUGGGCUAGUUAACAUUCAUAUUAGACUUUCAAAACAGUGUGGAGAAAACAGUCAGCUCUUUGAUGGCAUUUAUGAUGGACACACAGCUGGGCUAAUGAAGACAAUAUGUCAAGGCUUGAAGAGCAAUGAUUUUACAGAUUUUUGAGACAUCUAUUUGGGUUUAUAGAGCUGAUUUCCUCUUUGGAGGCUGCAUUCUGAAUUAAUGAUAACCACCUUUAUAGAGAAAACAUUGAAUAUGAAGUGUCCAAGGAAUUUAGGCUAAAGAAGUAAUUCUAGGACUAGUCAGACAAAGAGAAAUACUGUCUGAAAUGACUGAAU